rnacentral:rRNA from 1 species
AGUUGCACGGCGCCUGCCUCUCGAGGAAUGGCGGAGUGGCGGACGGGUGAGGAACGCGUAAGGACCUGCCCCUGGGAGGGGGAUAACAGCUGGAAACGGCUGCUAAUACCCCAUAUCCUGAGGAGGGAAAGGAGAGAUCCGCCCAGGGAGGGGCUUGCGUCUGAUUAGCUAGUUGGGGGGGUAAUGGCCUCCCAAGGCAACGAUCAGUUGCUGGUCUGAGAGGAUGAUCAGCCACACUGGGACUGAGACACGGCCCAGACUCCUACGGGAGGCAGCAGUGAGGAAUCUUCCGCAAUGGGCGAAAGCCUGACGGGGCAAUGCCGCGUGGAGGAUGAAGGCCCAAUGGGUCGUAAACUUCUUUAGAUCAGAGACGAAGAGAUGACGGUACCUGAAGAACUAAGCAUCGGCUAAACCCCGUGCCAGC